UUAGGCAAAUCCGGUACUCAUUAAGGCUGAGCUGUGAUGGGGAGAAGACAUUGUGUCUUCGAGUCGUUGAUUUCACACUGCCGAGAAAAGCCUCUAGAUAGAAAAUAGGUGCCCGUACCGCAAACCGACACAGGUAGUCAAGAUGAGAAUUCUAAGGUGAGCGAGCGAACUCUCGUUAAGGAACUCGGCAAAAUGACCCCGUAACUUCGGGAGAAGGGGUGCUCUUUAGGGUUAACGCCCAGAAGAGCCGCAGUGAAUAGGCCCAAGCGACUGUUUAUCAAAAACACAGGUCUCUGCUAAACCGUAAGGUGAUGUAUAGGGGCUGACGCCUGCCCGGUGCUGGAAGGUUAAGAGGAGUGGUUAGCUUCUGCGAAGCUACGAAUCGAAGCCCCAGUAAACGGCGGCCGUAACUAUAACGGUCCUAAGGUAGCGAAAUUCCUUGUCGGGUAAGUUCCGACCCGCACGAAAGGCGUAACGAUUUGGGCACUGUCUCAACGAGAGACUCGGUGAAAUCAUAGU
rnacentral:rRNA from 1 species